rnacentral:rRNA from 1 species
GAUUGAACGCUGGCGGUAUGCUUAACACAUGCAAGUCGAACGGAAACGAUACUAGCUUGCUAGUAGGCGUCGAGUGGCGGACGGAUGAGUAACGCGUAGGAAUCUGCCUGAUAGUGGGGGAUAGCCCGAAGAAAUUCGGAUUAAUACCGCAUAAUCUAUUCGUAGUAAAGUGGGGGACUUUCGAGCCUCACGCUAUCAGAUGAGCCUGCGUAAGAUUAGCUAGUUGGUAGGGUAAAAGCCUACCAAGGCGACGAUCUUUAGCUGGUCUGAGAGGAUGAUCAGCCACAUCGGGACUGAGACACGGCCCGAACUCCUACGGGAGGCAGCAGUGGGGAAUAUUGGACAAUGGGGGCAACCCUGAUCCAGCAAUACCGCGUGUGUGAAGAAGGCCUGAGGGUUGUAAAGCACUUUCAAUUGUGAAGAAAAGUUAGCGGUUAAUAACCGUUAGCCUUGACGUUAACUUUAGAAGAAGCACCGGCUAACUCCGUGCCAGCAGCCGCGGUAAUACGGAGGGUGCAAGCGUUAAUCGGAAUUACUGGGCGUAAAGCGUGCGUAGGCGGUUUAUUAAGUCAGAUGUGAAAGCCCCGGGCUUAACCUGGGAACUGCAUUUGAAACUGGUCAACUAGAGUAUGGUAGAGGAAAGUGGAAUUUCUGGUGUAGCGGUGAAAUGCGUAGAUAUCAGAAGGAACAUCAAUGGCGAAGGCAGCUUUCUGGACCAAUACUGACGCUGAGGUACGAAAGCGUGGGUAGCAAACAGGAUUAGAUACCCUGGUAGUCCACGCCGUAAACGAUGAUAACUAGCCGUUGGGGGGAUUUACCCUUUAGUGGCGAAGCUAACGCGUUAAGUUAUCCGCCUGGGGAGUACGGCCGCAAGGUUAAAACUCAAAGGAAUUGACGGGGACCCGCACAAGCGAUGGAGCAUGUGGUUUAAUUCGAUGCAACGCGAAGAACCUUACCUGGUCUUGACAUCCUGCGAACUUUCUAGAAAUAGAUUGGUGCCUUCGGGAACGCAGUGACAGGUGCUGCAUGGCUGUCGUCAGCUCGUGUCGUGAGAUGUUGGGUUAAGUCCCGUAACGAGCGCAACCCCUAUCCUUAUUUGCCAGCACAUCAUGGUGGGAACUAUAAGGAGACUGCCGGUGAUAAACCGGAGGAAGGCGGGGACGACGUCAAGUCAUCAUGGCCCUUACGACCAGGGCUACACACGUGCUACAAUGGGAAGGACAAAGAGCCGCGAAGCCGCGAGGUGUAGCUAAUCUCAUAAACCUUUUCGUAGUCCGGAUUGGAGUCUGCAACUCGACUCCAUGAAGUCGGAAUCGCUAGUAAUCGUAGAUCAGAAUGCUACGGUGAAUACGUUCCCGGGUCUUGUACACACCGCCCGUCAAGG